GGAGCUUCUUCCAUUCGGAGAAAAAAACAGGAGGACGAGGAGCAGCGGGAACAAACAUGUGAACAAACAUGUGAACAAACGUGGGCUGAGCUGCCGGACCAGGAGCCAGGACCAGGACCAGGAGGAGGACGAGGAGCAGCGGGGACAGACGUUUGUCCCGCUGCUCCUUGUCUGCCUGAGCGUCUCCUCCUGCCGGCUCCGCGCGCGUGGAAGAUCCGAGUGGCAAACCGGAAGUGGAUGGUUCCAAUUCAAUUUAUCGAGGGGGAAGGGCGCGGACCGCACUCAGCCAGGAGGAGUCCACUUUUCAUCGUCGGCGCUGAGGAGGGGCUUGCUGGUGCUUCAUCUCCCCCUAGAGGCACCUGUGCACAGCAUGAUUUUUUCUGCCUCAUCAGAUUUUUAUUUUCUCUUUAUUUUGCAUGAAAAUGUCACCAAUUCUAUUAUCAAUAAUAUAAAAUGUAUUGAAUUCGGUGGAAUUUUAUUUAAAGUUGUUCACAUAACCCUUAGAAGUUGAAUAUCAAUGUUUAUGGUCCUGCAGAGAGUGUAUUUGUGUGUAUUUGGCUUUUAUAUUGAGUGAUUAAUAAGUUAAAAAUGACAAAUAUGUGAGACUUGGACACAAAUAUAGAACUAUAAAUGCUAAUGAGCGAUGAAUAAAUAACUAAAACCUGCUUUGUCGUAAUAUUUUUUUAAAAAUGUAAAAGAAAACCCCUCAUUGCCUUCAUUUAUUCACAUUUCUUAUAAAGUUUUCACACAUAUGACAGUAUGAAGGUGUUUUAAGGGUCAAAGGUUUGGACAUAUAGCUAAGAACUGUAAAGAGAAGAGGAGGUGUGCAUGAUGUGGGAAAUGUGGAAGCAGGGUGCAGCUGUGGGGGAGAUGAUAGUGUCGCAUAUGGUGGGUGUGAGACGAUGACAAGGGAAACGAAUAUCCCAAAAAAAUAAGAGCUGAGGGAAGAAUCACCUCUGCAGAAGCUGUGAGUGAAUAUAGAAAUGAGCAAAGAGCUGUGGACGUGCAAGACACACGAGACACACAAGGACAGACGACAGGAUGUAUGCGAACAACAGAGAUUUAGUGACGUUCAUAACAGUACAGAGGAAGUGACAUCACACACUCAUGGUUACAGCAGCAGUGAGCCACUGAGGAUGAGUGGGACUGGCGUGGGAAGAAGUGAGGGAGAACCUCGCAGGAUGUCACAUGAUCAUGGUCAUUCUUUUACAAUGUGAGGUGUUUACUGGAAUUUAAGCAAUUUAUCUAAGGCUACAAGAGCAGACAUAGUAUGUGUUCAAGAAACAUGUGUGGCAGUAUGAGCGUUUUUGUUUUACUUUCCCCCUCGCUCAUUUGUGUUUAUUGGUUGCCAUGGUUGCAGUUCAUUGAGGGAGCCGGUACAAAAGCGGCAGUCCGCUCGCCGGCUCUUCCUCUGCUCCCAUUGUCGCCUGUGUCACUUCCGGUUUAGACGUCCUUUUUCUCCUCCCUCCUCUCGUGAGUGUCUGUUCCUGCUAAAAGAAGGUAUGUACGUAUAUUGUGAAAUGCAACCGCAUUAAUUGUAACGUACGUAGCACUUUCUAAUGUUCUUCUUGAUUGGGUAUUAUUGUUAACCACCUGACGGGCCGCUGCCGCUUUGUAAUCACUGUGUUUGGUGUUUGGUGUUCGCUGCUGCUGCAUGCCUGUGCGGCGUUAUUCGGUGGUCGUGGGAAGCUUCACAGCUGACUUCCAGCCCGAGUACACGCUGCACGAGGACGAUAGUUCAGCCGCAGACCUGCAUUUAUUGGGGAUUGCUCCCCCCACUUAUGAGUGAAUGAGUUUGUGAAACAUUAUUUUUGGGUAUUGUGUCUGGGUUAAAUGGGGGUUUUGUUUAUGUCAUUUUGUUUUGUUAAUUUAGAGAUUUUUCUUUUGGAAUUAAGGUAAUUGGGUUUUGUUAUAGUUUUAUUUUUUUGUUCAAUUAUAUUGUUUAUUUAGGCCUGUGACCUGGCCAUUUUUAUAGUUUUGUUAAGCUUUGAAGUCUUUUCUUUGAAUGUGUAACCCCACUAAUUUGUUGCUAUCUUCCCCUUUUUCAGUUACUGUAGACUGGCGGUGGUCUGGUGGUGGCAUCCUCCCGGUGCCUUGCUGUGUCCCUGGGAGCGGGGUGUCUGCCACGUGUGCCCAGUGAUUUCUUUUUUUUUUUUUUAUUCGUGGUGUUUUUCUUUGGAGCCCUGCCCUAGCAUUCAUCCAUUCACUUUGGCCUCAACCCUGAUUAGGAUUUUUUUUGUUGGUAUGAAUGAGUUUUAUUGAAAUUUUAGAAUUAAUGUUUAAUAAAAAAUAUAUGGUAACUUUGAA